AUUGAACGCUGGCGGCAGGCUUAACACAUGCAAGUCGAGCGGGGUGAUGGUGCUUGCACUAUCACUUAGCGGCGGACGGGUGAGUAAUGCUUAGGAAUCUGCCUAUUAGUGGGGGACAACAUCUCGAAAGGGAUGCUAAUACCGCAUACGUCCUACGGGAGAAAGCAGGGGAUCACUUGUGACCUUGCGCUAAUAGAUGAGCCUAAGUCGGAUUAGCUAGUUGGUGGGGUAAAGGCCUACCAAGGCGACGAUCUGUAGCGGGUCUGAGAGGAUGAUCGGCCACACUGGGACUGAGACACGGCCCAGACUCCUACGGGAGGUAGCAGUGGGGAAUAUUGGACAAUGGGGGGAACCCUGAUCCAGCCAUGCCGCGUGUGUGAAGAAGGCCUUAUGGUUGUAAAGCACUUUAAGCGAGGAGGAGGCUCUUUUGGUUAAUACCCAAGAUGAGUGGACGUUACUCGCAGAAUAAGCACCGGCUAACUCUGUGCCAGCAGCCGCCGUAA
rnacentral:rRNA from 1 species